rnacentral:rRNA from 1 species
AUUGAACGCUGGCGGCAGGCUUAACACAUGCAAGUCGAGCGGGGGAAGGUAGCUUGCUACUGGACCUAGCGGCGGACGGGUGAGUAAUGCUUAGGAAUCUGCCUAUUAGUGGGGGACAACAUCUCGAAAGGGAUGCUAAUACCGCAUACGUCCUACGGGAGAAAGCAGGGGAUCUUCGGACCUUGCGCUAAUAGAUGAGCCUAAGUCGGAUUAGCUAGUUGGUGGGGUAAAGGCCUACCAAGGCGACGAUCUGUAGCGGGUCUGAGAGGAUGAUCCGCCACACUGGGACUGAGACACGGCCCAGACUCCUACGGGAGGCAGCAGUGGGGAAUAUUGGACAAUAGGGGGAACCCUGAUCCAGCCAUGCCGCGUGUGUGAAGAAGGCCUUAUGGUUGUAAAGCACUUUAAGCGAGGAGGAGGCUACUCUAGUUAAUACCUAGGGAUAGUGGACAUUACUCGCAGAAUAAGCACCGGCUAACUCUGUGCCAGCAGCCGCCGCGG